rnacentral:rRNA from 1 species
AACGAACGCUGGCGGCAUGCCUAGCACAUGCAAGUCGAACGAGACCUUCGGGUCUGGUGGCGCAUGGGUGGGUGACCGGGGGGGACAUGCCCUUAGGUUUGGCAUAACUCGCCGAAAGAGGUGCUAAUACCGGCUCAUGUCUUCGGACCAAAGAUUGAUCGCCUUUGGAUGGGCUCGCGAUGUCUUAGUUUGUUGUUAGGGUAAAUGCCUCUAAGGGGGUCGAUCCAUAACUGGGUUGUGAGGCUGAUCACCCACACUGGGACUAGGACACGGCCCAGAAUCCUGCGGGAGGCAGGAGUGGGGAAUAUUGGACAACGGGGGAUAGGCUGAUGGAGCAAUGCCGCGUGAGUGAUUAAGGUCGUAGGGUUGUAAAGCUCGUUUACCCGUGAUGAUAAUGACGGUACCGGGAGAAUAAGCUCCGGCUAACUCCGUG